CAAAACUGUGCCCUACCACACAGUAAGUGCUGAAUAAAUGUUUGCUUAGUGGAGGCCUUUCUCACUUCCCCAGAUCUCUGCAGUGAGUGAAAGACUUGGUGUUACCAAGGUCACCAAAGAUUUUAGCUGCCACAUCCACACACUGCACAGUAGAAUCCUUCCUUCUUCCCUAUUUAGUGUUGGUUUUAGAAGUCAGUCCUCUGGGCAAGAGAAAAGGGCCCACAGGUUGCCACAACUAAACCGUUCUCCUUCGCUAUCUCCAAUCGCAUAGUCCACACAAAUGAGGUGUGAUUGGCAUGUGGUAAGCAUUGACCAUUAUACCUCUGAUCCCUUCUCAUGUAAGAAAACAAGUCUAGUAGAAGGGACCUGGAAUUGGAGAACUCGCACUCUAACCACUGCACUAACCAGCUAAUAACUGAGCAAAGGAUCCCCCCAUUCUGAGCAUCACUUUCUUCUCUAUGCAGUGAGUCGAUGUGAGACAUUUGUGAAGACCCAACACAGCGUCUGGACAUGCAUUCCUCUGCAACACCCACCUACUGCUUUCUCAGUGUCAAAUGAAGAGAUCUUGAAAACGUUUCUGCUAAAUAAGUGUUAUACCCCCUUGUGCAACCACAACCCACGCUAGUCCUCGACACCGGCUCCACAGAGACCAAGACCUUGGGCCUGCGGCUGUGCUCACCACACGCGUGGGGCUCAGAGAGCCCUUGCUCAACUCUCCCUGGCCCCUCCGUCAGUUCCUAGUGCUCUGCACACCCCCGGCAGCCCUGGCCUUGAGGAGGCUCUGAGCUCAUGCCUGCCACAUCCCCGACUACGAGCCUCCACCACUGCCGCGCGGUUCUCGAUCUCACCUCCCUCACCUAGGAAGUGAGAGUGUCAGAGAGAUGACUUCCAUGUUUUCUUUUCCUUUUGAAUUUUUGUUUUUUUGAGAGACGGAGAGUUCCCUGUGCUGGUUCACUCCACAAAUCCCUGCAAUGGCCCAAGGUACACCAAGGCCAAAGCUGACAGCUGGGAACACAACCCAGGUUUCCCACAUGGGUGGCAGAGACUCAAUUACUUGGAGGCUCACAACUGUCUCCCAGUGUCGGCAUUAUCAGGAAACUGGAGUUAGGAGCUGCAGGCAGGUGUCAAACCCAGGCACUCCACACUAUGGGGCUCAGACUUAUUCACUGGCAUCUUGACUACUUAACCACCAGGCGGAAUGCCUACCUCCCCCCCCUCUUUUUUUUUUUUUUUUUUUUAAUUUUUUGACAGCCAGAGUGGACAGUGAGAGAGAGAGAGACAGAGAGAAAUGUCUUCCUUUUGCCGUUGGUUCACCCUCCAAUGGCCGCCGCGGCCGGCGCGCUGCGGCCGGCGCACCGCGCUGAUCCGAUGGCAGGAGCCAGGUGCUUCUCCUGGUCUCCCAUGGGGUGCAGGGCCCAAGCACCUGGGCCAUCCUCCACUGCACUCCCUGGCCACAGCAGAGAGCUGGCCUGGAAGAGGGGCAACCAGGACUAGAACCUGGUGUGCCAGAGCCGCAAGGCAGAGGAUUAGCCUAGUGAGCCGCGGCGCCAGCCGGUAGCAUUUAUUUGUAACCCCCCAAAAUCAGUCCUCAUGAUGCUUUUGUGGUAGCCCAACCAAAUAUGUACCGAGUAGGAAGAAUUUGAGCUGGCCAAUAGGUGUCUUUCCGUCUGAGGUUGCACAAGGCAAUGACCUGUCUUCCUGUUCCAGCUGUCCUCCUCCUCCUCCUCUGCCCAGCCUCUUUGCUGCCAUGGUUUUCACAUUGCUGUCCUGCGCAUUAGGAUCCCGCUGAUGGAAACGGCCCUGUGUGCAGCACUGCACUACUGUUGUGCACGAGGCUGCGCUGUGUCUCUUGUGAAAACCGUGUGUGUGCCACAAGCUUUGUGCAGGGAGAGCUGCAAUGCUUUUCACUGUGAAUUCAGUGUUACUGCAUCGGUAAUAUAUAUUAAUAGGAUCUCUCAUUCUCUGUCUCUCCUUCUCUCUCUCUCUCUGUCACUCUGCCUUCAAGAUAGAUAAUAAAUAAAUAAAUAAAUCUGCUUUUUAAGAAAGUGAAGUUUAUAGUGUAGAAAACUAUCAAACAACACAUUAAUCAAAUGAUCUAAGUGAACAUCACUAGUAGUGAGAAAAACAGAAACCACACAGCAAUCAAUACAAUGCAACAAGAACAGAGGUUCACUUCUGUAAUAUUUCUGGCCGAGAUAUAUAAAAUGAAUUUAAUCAUGAGGAUCAGACAUACCCAAACCAAGGAAUAUUUCAAAAAUAAUUGGCUUAUAACAUUCAAAAAUGUCAAGGACAUGAGGCUGAGGAACUAUUCCAGACUGAAAGAGAAUGAAGGGAUAGGAUAGCUGAAAGUAGCACGCGAUUGUGACCUGCAGGUGUCUGCUUGCUCUAGGGGUCAGUGUUAGGAUAAUUGGCAAAACUUGAAUGGGCACUGAGGCUUUAAUGGCCGUAACAUGCAGUGCUAAUCUUCUGGUUUUAAUGGCUAUGAGAAUGUCCUUGUUCGCCAAAAGCACACCUCGAACGUUCGAAGGUGACAGAGUCUUGGUAAACUGGCUACUUACUCUGGCACGGCUCAGACAGCAAGUUCUUUGUCCUGAAUUUUCAAGUGUUCUCUAAGUUUGUGUUUGUUUCAAAAACAUGUAAUCAAGUAAUUGAUUGAGAUUUACAGCUUUUAAGUAGUAACCUUACUAAGUUUAUAUACCAUGGUGAAACGUUUAAGAGAAAUUCUGUUCACUAUGUCUAUAUGUUUAAUUUAUUAGAUUUAUAAAAAUUGCUUAGCUACAUGGGAGGGCCUGUGAGUUAGACAAUUAAAGUACUUUUAAAAGGAAAUAUACUAUAUUACAUUUAUAAAAUGCAGUUUUAAAUGGUUGAAGGCAUUUAACCGAAUGUGUAAAUGGGACCAAAUUAUUAUUUUAAAACUUAAAAGUAAUUGCUGACAUUAUCUAGACUUAUAAAUAGAAUAGGGUUUUUCAGUGGAACUUCAAAGUCUAGUGAAUAUUAAUGUUUUAAAACCAGAGAAAAUGCAAGCAGAUUUUUUUCUGAGUAAUAUAGAUUACACAAUUAACUAGCAUUGCCGUAGCACUAAUUUUGUGCCUAGAGCUACCAGGAUAGAAAAAAAAAAAUGUAAAAUGCAACCUCUGACCAGUUAAGAAGAUCAGAGCUAAUCAGUGCCAUGAGAUUAACACACAGGAGACAAUAAGGACAGAAACAGCGUGUCAAGUGUCCACCAGGGACAUGAGGUGGCAGCGCCUUAUCUGUAGCCCUAGAAGGCAGAAUGCCAGUCGGGAGCAAAACAAAU